UGGCUGAAAAAACAGUUGUAAAAACUUUUCAUCAAAAAACAAGAGUUUUGGCAUAUUUGUCGUUUCUCCAUUAGGCAAAUUUGUUUGUGCCAGUCAAUUU